GUAAUACUCUGUGGUGAAUGCCGGGGGCUGGCUCUGAAUCACAGAUGGCUAUGAUGAAACACGCAGGAGGAGGAGGUGCUGCCAGUGCUGUGGGAAGGCCUUCAGUACACAACAGAGAGAAGCGAAUUCACUGAGAACAGAGAGCAGU